rnacentral:rRNA from 1 species
AGAGUUUGAUCCUGGCUCAGGAUGAACGCUAGCGGCAGGCCUAACACAUGCAAGUCGAGGGGCAUCACGAGGUAGCAAUACUUUGGUGGCGACCGGCGCACGGGUGCGUAACGCGUAUGUAACCUACCUAUAACAGGGGCAUAACACUGAGAAAUUGGUACUAAUUCCCCAUAAUAUUCGGAGAGGCAUCUCUCCGGGUUGAAAACUCCGGUGGUUAUAGAUGGACAUGCGUUGUAUUAGCUAGUUGGUGAGGUAACGGCUCACCAAGGCAACGAUACAUAGGGGGACUGAGAGGUUAACCCCCCACACUGGUACUGAGACACGGACCAGACUCCUACGGGAGGCAGCAGUGAGGAAUAUUGGUCAAUGGACGCAAGUCUGAACCAGCCAUGCCGCGUGCAGGAAGACGGCUCUAUGAGUUGUAAACUGCUUUUGUACGAGGGUAAACUCACCUACGUGUAGGUGACUGAAAGUAUCGUACGAAUAAGGAUCGGCUAACUCCGUGCCAGCAGCCGCGGUAAUACGGAGGAUCCAAGCGUUAUCCGGAUUUAUUGGGUUUAAAGGGUGCGUAGGCGGUUUGAUAAGUUAGAGGUGAAAUCCCGGGGCUUAACUCCGGAACUGCCUCUAAUACUGUUAGACUAGAGAGUAGUUGCGGUAGGCGGAAUGUAUGGUGUAGCGGUGAAAUGCUUAGAGAUCAUACAGAACACCGAUUGCGAAGGCAGCUUACCAAACUAUAUCUGACGUUGAGGCACGAAAGCGUGGGGAGCAAACAGGAUUAGAUACCCUGGUAGUCCACGCAGUAAACGAUGAUAACUCGUUGUCGGCGAUACACAGUCGGUGACUAAGCGAAAGCGAUAAGUUAUCCACCUGGGGAGUACGUUCGCAAGAAUGAAACUCAAAGGAAUUGACGGGGGCCCGCACAAGCGGAGGAACAUGUG